GGUGAAAAACUACAAUGAUUUUUUUCUCCCAGAGCCAUUAUUUUGAAGCUGCAGAUGUAGCUGGCCUGUUAUCUACACAUGGAUUAACCCCUUUUGUCCCAGUAUUUUUAUUAUAUUACAUUUUUUGAGACCUGGGAAAAACAGCCUUAAUCAUGGCUUCAAAAUGCCGAGCAGUUCAAGCACAUUCACCUAAAAGUCAUAAUCUUCUGCAACAGUAAACACUGACAAAACUGUCAGAGACAGAGACUCAAUGUCGGAAGGAAAAAUUGAAGGGAAGGAGACGUGGAUGAAGGGAAAAAUGGGAUUAGGACUUGCGUAAAAGGAUGAAGUGACGGAUGAGGAGGACGGGUAAAACAGAGGGGAAUCGGCAAGGGCGGAGGGGACACAGAAGUGGAAAGGAAGGAAUCAGGGACGGAAAGAGGCAGAGAAGAUGGUCUGACCAUCCAAUGCAGGGCUGUGUUUAGGGACACCUCUGGGACAUUACAGAUGGCUGGGCAACAGUUGAGCGAGGGAAAAGGGAAGUACUUCUCUUACAAAAUGGUGACACCAAAUUUUGGACGAUCUGCAAAAUAAUUGAAAUCCGACCAUACAGACACGAAACCGAGUGCCACUGUUUGUCUUUGGACUUCUAUGUGCUCUGAUUUUUAAACGCAAGCCUGAGCAAAAGUGUUGACUCACCACCACUUAGGGGGAAUUGAGGAAUUUGCCUAUCGUGUUCGGUAACGUUACAAAGUGGAUUAUUGAUGCUGCACCUGGGGGAGAAAAUCCUAUUUAAGCCACUAAGGGUUUAUAGAAUGCAGCGGCUGAGACAAUGGGGAGAGUCACAAUGUCGUCAAAGUCAAAUCUAGUAAGGUCAGUUUAAAAAGUGAAAGUCUUUAACAGCAAAUACCACCACACCAUUUAGUGAGGAGAGAUUCAUGUACCAACGGAUUUAUUUUCCAUUCUGUAUUUAUUUCUGUUCGUCCAUUUCCAACGGUAAAUGAGCCAUGCCUCACCUGGCCUCAGGUAAGAUGAGAGGAUCUGAAUAAAAAAAAAAAGCUUUCUUAACCUCCUAACGCUGUGUCCAGGAUCUGGUGACUGUAUGUUGUUAUCACCAGUAUGGUUGUUAAUUUAAUGCGGCAAACUCACCGCUCAUUUCUUGUCUUCUGUCAUGCUACUCAAUUAUUUACCUGCUGAUUCCAUUUCUUCAUCAUUUCCUGUAGGAAAAAUGAUGUUCUCAUCUUUCACUUUUUCUUGGCUUUAAAUGUAUCCUAUAAUGAGCAUGAGCCUUAAAACCAACAGUUACCUUUGACCAACCAAUGCUGUUGCCAAAGGUAAUACUUAAAAUCCGACAAUGAUGAAGCAGUCUGAUAUUUGUAACAUAUCCUUAUUGCACACAAGCCUCAGGUUUGGCUUAGUUGAAAUAUUUUGAAACUGUC
ensembl:lncRNA